AUUGAACGCUGGCGGCAUGCCUUACACAUGCAAGUCGAACGGCAGCACGGGAGCAAUCCUGGUGGCGAGUGGCGAACGGGUGAGUAAAGCAUCGGAACGUGCCCAGUCGUGGGGGAUAACGUAGCGAAAGCUACGCUAAUACCGCAUACGAUCUGUGGAUGAAAGCGGGGGACCGUAAGGCCUCGCGCGAUUGGAGCGGCCGAUGUCAGAUUAGGUAGUUGGUGAGGUAAAGGCUCACCAAGCCGACGAUCUGUAGCUGGUCUGAGAGGGCGACCAGCCACACUGGGACUGAGACACGGCCCAGACUCCUACGGGAGGCAGCAGUGGGGAAUUUUGGACAAUGGGCGCAAGCCUGAUCCAGCAAUGCGGCGUGCAGGAUGAAGGCCUUCGGGUUGUAAACUGCUUUUGUACGGAGCGAAACGGCUUCCACUAAUACUGGGGGCUAAUGACGGUACCGUAAGAAUAAGCACCGGCUAACUACGUGCCAGCCGCCGCGGUAAUAC
rnacentral:rRNA from 1 species